rnacentral:lncRNA from 12 species
GCGUGCGCGGGGGGAGUUGGCCUAAUGCCCCUGUGGGCUCGGCCUGCCGCCGCCGCGGGGCCUCUGACACUGCGCGCCAGGCCAGGUUCCGGAAAGCAGCCUGCGCGGGUGGGAGCGCAGGCCCCGGAGGCCCUCGCGCCGGGCGGUCGGAGCCGGGAGCUCGCGCGCUCGCCUCGCCUCGCCUCGCCUCCCCUCGCAGGACCGGGGCGCCGGCGCGGGACCGCACCGAGCGGAGCGCAAGGCGGCCAGAGGCACCCAGACUACGAGGCUUCUGUCCUUGAUGUGCAGCAUUACGUCCUCAAGGCUGGGCCGAUGACCCCUCCUGGUAAUGGACUGGAUCAUUAAAAAUACCCCGGACCUCAAAAAACAGUGGACUGAGUGGUGGGCGGAGGCCAUGAGAGCAGCAGUGCAAAGUUCAAAGGCUCGGAUCACACCCAGUUCUCCCCAGGACGGCCACUGUCGGAGCCCCCGGACUGAAACCCCCUGUUACACGGGGACGCGCCUGGGGCUGCCAUCCACUCUGAUCUGCAGAACCGCAGCCUUGAAGAGGGCUUCAAAGCAUGUCUGCCAAUAGAUCAAGCCUUCUCUCAGCCAUGACAGCCCCCCAUCGCUCGCCUCCCCAAAUAAACCCGCGUAAUGAAGACA